CUAUGAACAAUUCAUAGCCGCUUUAUUGAAAAUGAUUAUAUAAAAAUCAAUAAUAACAUAUUUUAAUCAUCAGAAUAAUACUAGAGUUCACUUUGAUUUAUAUAUUGAUGUUCAAUUGCCAGUAAAGGUGGCAGGACUACACGCCAGGAGGUGUGUAUAACUAAUUAAACCACAAAAUCUAAUUAUAGCUGGCAGGCCUGGUGGGAGGAGGUGGGUAAGUUCAAGUGUUUCGCUCUGAUACAAGUCGUGUGGACUUAUGAAAUUACUUGUGCUAUAUCUUCGUUAUAUGCCAAGAAUCCGACCUUGAUCUUGGCACUGUUACGUAGUUUUAGGCACUGAAAUUUCCUGCCUCUUCAACCGGCGCGCCAUAGAUUAAGGUAAAGCUAUUAUGUCAUCUAAUCGUGUCAAUCCAGGCGUGACAUAAAAAUCCAUAUUUCCUGGGAAAUAUUUUUAUUUAUGUCCCGCCUUCCUUCAGUUAAUAAACUA